rnacentral:misc_RNA from 1 species
AACCAUAGAAACCUGCGGAGUACCUGCGGAGGGAUCAUUAAAAAGAGUGUGUACCCCCCUGUAAAAUGGGUGGGUUACCUCCCGUCCUUUGUUGACCUCUUAGGAGGUUAUUUUGAACUUUUCUGCUUCGGUGGGGUUAAACCUACCGGAACACCCUCAAAUUCUGAUCAUUUAAAAAUUGUUCAGUCCGAUUUUUGUUAAUAAAAACAAAAAACUUUCAACAACGGAUCUCAGAUCGGA